rnacentral:rRNA from 1 species
AAGGCGACGAUCCCUAGCUGGUCUGAGAGGAUGAUCAGCCACACUGGAACUGAGACACGGUCCAGACUCCUACGGGAGGCAGCAGUGGGGAAUAUUGCACAAUGGGCGCAAGCCUGAUGCAGCCAUGCCGCGUGUGUGAAGAAGGCCUUCGGGUUGUAAAGCACUUUCAGUCGUGAGGAAGGUAGUGUAGUUAAUAGCUGCAUU